AUAGUAUAGGGGCGGAUGUAGCCAAGUGGAUCAAGGCAGUGGAUUGUGAAU
rnacentral:tRNA from 1 species